rnacentral:rRNA from 1 species
GAUGAACGCUAGCGGCAGGCCUAAUACAUGCAAGUCGGACGGGAUCCAUCGGAGAGCUUGCUCGAAGAUGGUGAGAGUGGCGCACGGGUGCGUAACGCGUGAGCAACCUACCUCCAUCAGGGGGAUAGCCUCUCGAAAGAGAGAUUAACACCGCAUAACAUCAACAGUUCGCAUGUCAGGUUGACUAAAUAUUUAUAGGAUAGAGAUGGGCUCGCGUGACAUUAGCUAGUUGGUAGGGUAACGGCUUACCAAGGCGACGAUGUCUAGGGGCUCUGAGAGGAGAAUCCCCCACACUGGUACUGAGACACGGACCAGACUCCUACGGGAGGCAGCAGUAAGGAAUAUUGGUCAAUGGGCGGAAGCCUGAACCAGCCAUGCCGCGUGCAGGACGACUGCCCUAUGGGUCGUAAACUGCUUUUGUCCAGGAAUAAACCUAAAUACGUGUAUUUAGCUGAAUGUACUGGAAGAAUAAGGAUCGGCUAACUCCGUGCCAGCCGCCGCCGUAAGAC